rnacentral:rRNA from 1 species
GACGAACGCUGGCGGCGUGCUUAACACAUGCAAGUCGAACGGUGAAGCGCCUUCCUUUUUGGUGGGUGUGGAUGAGUGGCGAACGGGUGAGUAACACGUGAGUAACCUGCCCCCUUCUUCUGGAUAACCGCAUGAAAGGGUGGCUAAUACGGGAUAUUCUGGGUCUGUCGCAUGAUGGGUCUGGGAAAGAUAUUGUUUCGGUGGGGGAUGGGCUCGCGGCCUAUCAGCUUGUUGGUGGGGUGAUGGCCUACCAAGGCGGUGACGGGUAGCCGGCCUGAGAGGGUGGACGGUCACACUGGGACUGAGACACGGCCCAGACUCCUACGAGAGGCAGCAGUGGGGAAUAUUGCACAAUGGGCGCAAGCCUGAUGCAGCGACGCCGCGUGAGGGAUGGAGGCCUUCGGGUUGUGAACCUCUUUCGCCAGUGAAGCAGGCCUGCCUCGUUUGUGGGUGGGUUGACGGUAGCUGGAUAAGAAGCGCCGGCUAACUACGUG